rnacentral:tRNA from 1 species
AAAUGUGUAGUUUAAGUAAAACAGAAACUUUGUAAGUUUAUUUUAUAUAAG